AAAUAUGAGAGUGAUCUGGAUGCAACACACCUGUCUCUCUCUCUAUUGAGUGCAAGCAUUCAUAGGCUGACCUGGCUGGCUAGGCAGAAUCCCCUUCCUACUUCAUCAUUCUCUGUGUGUUCUUUUGGAACAUGUUAGCUAGCUUGGUUUAAUAGAAGGACUUUCCCAGAGAGAAGAGGAACAUGUAUGAGUAACUGUACUUCCCUGCAGAACCUCCAAACAAGUUCUCAGUGUCCAUUUGCAGAAUAUAGGGUAGUCAAGUUUCCAAGACUCCAGGCACAUCCAAAUAAGAUGCUGUGUGUGGCAGUCUGCCCUAAAAA
rnacentral:snRNA from 1 species